UACGGGGGGGGCAAGCGUUGUUCGGAAUUACUGGGCGUAAAGGGCUCGUAGGCGGCCAACUAAGUCAGACGUGAAAUCCCUCGGCUUAACCGGGGAACUGCGUCUGAUACUGGAUGGCUUGAGGUUGGGAGAGGGAUGCGGAAUUCCAGGUGUAGCGGUGAAAUGCGUAGAUAUCUGGAGGAACACCGGUGGCGAAGGCGGCAUCCUGGACCAAAUCUGACGCUGAGGAGCGAAAGCCAGGGGAGCAAACGGG
rnacentral:rRNA from 1 species